AUUGUGGUCAAUUUGUGAUAUCGUCGAAAAUAAUAAGAAAACAGGAAUGUUCGCACUGUUUGGAAAUACAAUAGUUUAUUUCGUUCCGUCAUAUAUGACUGUUCUGCAGCAUUGAAUCACCCUUCUGCAUCAGUUAUUAUUUUCUUCUGUUUUACAAGCCUUCAAACCUGAGGUUUAAACUGCUGAGUUUGAUUUGCUUUUGGGGGCUGUGUGGUUGACAUUUAAUCGAAACAACAAAUAAAACAACACCGCUGCCGAAUGAAAAAAAUGAAAAGAAUGGGAAGUGGAAACGUAAACACGUAGAAUUUUCAUCAACUUUUCGUCUCAUUUUUCAUCGCUUUACGCACGCAGCAACUGCCAGAAGGAUUUGCGAAGACCAUAGUUUAAGUUUCCCUUUGCUUGAAAAAGUUUCCUUCAGAAAAUUCUACUCGCGAUCGCGCUAAUACGGUCCGGAAAAAUACAACAGUUCCUGCAGCCCAGCAAGAAAUCGAUCGACAAGACAUUGUUUUUAGCAUUUUGGGUAGUAGAAACUGAUUCAUUUCACAAACGAUAGCCUUCCUUGUAGCAAUGGUGGAACCAACAUGGAUAGAAAUUAACGAAAUAAAGGGUUUUAUAACGUUUCUAGCAAGUAUCGAUUGGUAUGAUCCGUGGCUGAUAGGAUUAAUAGCGUUUCACGUAUGCAUCACAUCGACGGCACUACUCACCAGAAAUUAUGGAAAUUUUCAGGUUUUCCUAUUUUUCAUUCUCUUGCUAUUGGUGUACUUUUCCGAAAGCAUUAACGAAUAUGCGGCAAUCAAUUGGAGGAUUUUUUCCAAACAACAAUACUUCGACGAUAAGGGUUUAUUCAUAUCGGUUGUGUUUUCCGUGCCAAUACUUCUAAAUUGCAUGCUCAUGGUGGGAAGUUGGCUGUACCAAUCGACGCAGAUCAUGUCCAAGUUAAAAACUGCCCAGCUUAAGCAACAGAUACGACAAUCCAACAGCAGGCAACGAUUAAAGGAUGAAAAGGAGGAAUGAAAAAUGCAUCAGGUGUACCUUCGUUUUUUUCUGACUAACCCCGUCCAAAUAUGGUGCAGGGUUUGUGACAGAUUGGGGCUACAUAAGGCGUUAAAAUGGAGCAAAGCUCUUAGAAGGGUUAAACUACCGGCAGUUGAAUAGCCAAAUAGCCACACACCAACACAGUCUUGCUAAUAAUGCGUAGGUAUUUGCUUUAUUUACUUUACCGCAGAAUUUGUUACGAAGCGAAGAACUUUACUCACUAAAAUUUGUCAAGUGGAACAAGUGAGUCCCACGAACACGAUCAGAUCAAAAUGAGUUAAUUGCAUUGGCCACAAACAUCUAAACCAAGAAAAGCACAGCUAACGCGUGCAGCGUCUGUGUAUAAAACAAUCAUUUCGUCCACUACCACCAAUUCGUAAACGGCAAUCAUUUCCUAGUCAAUUUAGGUGCAGUCGGUCGGUUCCCGUCCUUGAAAUCAGAUAAAGAGGUUUGCAAUCUUAUGCCACUGGUAAUAUGAUAUUGCCUGUUGGGUAUUCGCGGAAGCAUAUGAGGUGGAAAAAUGCAAAUUCACUAUUCCAGAUAACGGCAUACGCAUUCAGGCCCUACGCACCGUAACUUAGCUAUUUUAUAGUGCUUUUGCUAAAUGACACGAUGAAAGAUGAUUACUAAUUUUUUACCACAUUUAUACACUUUCGUUUCUAUUCUUUGCCAAUUUACCAAGUUUGGGUCACGUUCGGUACCAGUUACAGUUGCCACAGUGUGUAGAUACAGAUCUGUAAAGUGGAUUAAAACCGCCAGCAACGAAAAUGCACGGGAAGAUGAUUUGCUAAAUAAAAUGGGAUGUAAUUUUAAAACCAUG